rnacentral:rRNA from 1 species
GUGGGGAAUAUUGCACAAUGGGCGAAAGCCUGAUGCAGCGACGCCGCGUGAGCGAUGAAGUAUUUCGGUACGUAAAGCUCUAUCAGCAGGGAAGAUAAUGACGGUACCUGACUAAGAAGCACCGGCUAAAUACGUGCCAGCAGCCGCGGUAAUACGUAUGGUGCAAGCGUUAUCCGGAUUUACUGGGUGUAAAGGGAGCGUAGGCGGCGUGGUAAGUCAGAAGUGAAAGCCCGGGGCUCAACCCCGGGACUGCUUUUGAAACUAUCAUGCUAGAGUGUCGGAGAGGUAAGUGGAAUUCCUAGUGUAGCGGUGAAAUGCGUAGAUAUUAGGAGGAACACCAGUGGCGAAGGCGGCUUACUGGACGAUAACUGACGCUGAGGCUCGAAAGCGUGGGGAGCAAACAGGAUUAGAAACCCGGGUAGUCC